UACGUAGGGUGCAAGCGUUGUCCGGAAUUAUUGGGCGUAAAGAGCUCGUAGGCGGUCUGUUGCGUCGGCUGUGAAAACCCGAGGCUCAACCUCGGGCCUGCAGCCGAUACGGGCAGACUAGAGUUCGGCAGGGGAGACUGGAAUUCCUGGUGUAGCGGUGAAAUGCGCAGAUAUCAGGAGGAACACCUGCGGCGAAGGCGGGUUGCUGGGCUGAUACUGACGCUGAGGCGCGAAAGCCAGGGGAGCGAACGGG
rnacentral:rRNA from 1 species